rnacentral:miRNA from 1 species
AAUCUCAUUGACCGGAAGGGAUUCCUUCCGGUCGAUGAGAUUGUUACAUCUCAUCAAUUGGAAGGAAUCCCUUCCAAUCAAUGAGGUAUAACAACCUCAUCAAUUGGAAGGGAUUCCUUCCGAUUGAUGAGGUUGUUACAUCUCAUUGACCGGAAGGAAUCCCUUCCGGUCAAUGAGAUU